CGGGAGGGGCGGGCCAGGCCAGGCCACGCGGCUCCUCCCCCGCCGCUGCCCCCCCCGCCGGGUACGGGCCCAGCCGGCCGCCCAGCGCCGCGGCAAGUUUGUGGGAAGCAGCAGCAGCAGCAGCCGAGGGGCACGGAGGCGGCGACGGCCGGAGCUACCAUGGCUGGCGGGACGAGCUCCGCGCUCUCGGAGUCCGGCUGGUAUCUUUCAGAUGAAGGAAUUGAAGCUUGCACAAAUUCUUCUGACAAAGUCAAUAUAAGUGAUGUUAUCCUGAUUGCCCUUAAUACAGAUUUAAGAACUAUUGGCAAGAAAUUCCUCUCCAGUGACAUCAAUGGUGGAAAGGUGGAAAAGCUAGAAGGCCCAUGUGUCCUGCAGAUACAAAAAAUACGCAAUGUUGCUGCACCAAAGGAUAAUGAAGAAUCUCAAGCUGCUCCCAGAAUGCUGCGUUUGCAGAUGACUGAUGGACACACAAGCUGCACAGCAAUAGAAUAUAAUUACAUGUCAAAAAUAAGCUUGAACACACCACCUGGAACAAAAAUUAAGCUGUCAGGAAUUGUUGAAGUGAAAAAUGGAUUCCUGCUUUUGGAUGACAGUAACACUGUCGUUCUCGGCGGUGAAGUGGAUCAUCUUAUAGAAAAGUGGGAGUUACAAAGGAGUUUAUCAAAACACAAUAGAAGUAACAUUGGAACAGAAGGUGGACCACCCCCUUUUGUGCCAUUUGGGCAGAAAUGUGUGUCUUCUGUGCAAGUGGACAGCAGGGAACUUGAUCAGAGAAAGACUCUGCAAAUGAUGAGCACUGCUAAGCCUGUUGGAGACAAUGAUGAAUUUGAAAAACAGAGAACAGCUGCUAUUGCAGAAGUAGCAAAGAGCAAGGAGACCAAGACAUUUGGAGGAGGCGGUGGCAGUACUAGAAGCAAUCUUAAUGUGAGUGCUGGAGGGAAUCGAAACAGGGAAGUGUUCCAGAAAGAAAAGAUAACAAAACCUGAGGGGAAAAAUGAAGGUGUCUAUCGUGAACUGGUUGAUGAAAAGGCUCUAAAGCACAUAACAGAAAUGGGUUUCAGUAAAGAAGCCGCAAGGCAGGCGCUUAUGGAUAAUAGCAACAGCCUAGAAGCAGCAUUAAAUUUUCUUCUGAACAGCAGUAAACAGAAACCUAUCCAGGGACCGCCACCUAGAGGGAAAGGAAAGGGCAGAGGCCGACUAAGACCUGAAGAUGAAGAGGAACUAGGAAAUGCCAGACCUUCUGCACCCAGCACACUGUUUGACUUCUUAGAGUCCAAAAUGGGUACUCUGACAGUAGAAGAACCAAAAUCACAGUCUCAUCCACCACAUCAAGUGCAACACAGAGUGCUCAAUAUAGAGCAGAAUGGCAUAAAAGACUACACCCAUCCAAGACAUCUUCCUCGAAAUGAUACUAGACAGCCAAGAAAUGAGAAACCCCCUCGUUUUCAAAGGGACAUUCAGAAUUCAAGACAGGUUUUGGAAAGUAGUGGCUUACCAAGAAACAGAGGUCCUGAAAAACACAGCUCUUUAGGACUAGAGCAGUGGACUGAGGAUAAAAAUAAGUGUGAUAGACUUUAUCCAAGGAAUGAUAGGCUAAAGGAUAUUGGUCAUCCCUCAGCCAUUCACCAGAGUGAUGUUUCUUUUAGAAAGAGGGAUAAUACUAUGCAAAACAGACUAGGAAAAGGGGCUGCAUUCAUGGAAUUGAGAGAGAAUUCCAGUGUUCAAGAUACCAUUGGUGAUGAUGAUGAUCAGAAACGAGGAAAAAAGGAAAACCAAAUACAUAAUCCUGACAAUUUUUAUGACAGGAAAACACGAACAAUAAGUAAUGAAACUUUCAGUUUAAAAAAUGAGCAACAUUUUGGUAUGAAUAGUGACUACAAGAAUCCUAUUAGAACUGAUAGUUUUAAUGCUUUACCUAAUGGAGACACUGAAUAUCCACAGAAAGGAAGACGAGUAGGACCUAUUAAAUCACCAGGACCCAAUGUUGCUCCACCUUUUGAAGACAAAAUGUUAUAUUAUAACGCUGGUCCGAAAAGGAGAUCUGGGCCCAUCAAACCAGAAAAAAUAUUGGAACCGUCUAUUCCUGUGGAGUAUGGUAAAAGCUGGAGGCCCAGGGAUGAAUGUUUUGCUCUUUAUUGGGAAGACAACAAGUUUUAUAGAGCAGAAAUUGAAGCUCUUCAUUCUUCUGGAACAACUGCAGUUGUUAAAUUCUGUGAUUAUGGAAACUAUGAAGAGGUGCUACUAAGCAACAUCAAGCCCAUUCACGCAGAGGCAUGGAUCUUCCAUUGUGGGCAAAAUGGAACUGAGGAGGAAACAAAAACAUGAGUGUGUAGCUGUUGCAGCAGUGUCUGUUCCUUUGUUGAUGGAGCUCCCUCAGUGCACACCUCCUUUCCUUUUUCUCUCUAUGACAGUGAUGGUGAACCUUCUUGAAUCAGAGGGCCACAAGUUAAAUUUUUCUAGUUAUUGGAUGCAGACUUUAGAAGGGCUUCAGUUGUGUUAAAUCUUUCCCCUUUCUAGCUUUCACUCUUCUUCCCUAUUCUACCUUUCUCACCUAAUCUAUUCCUCUCCUUGAAAUUUUUCCCCUUUCAGUUAUUUCUUCCUGGUCUUUCCCUUCCUUUCCUUUCAGUCUACUGUUAUCUGUCUCAUUCUGGCCCUGCCUCUCUUGACAUCUGACAUCAACUGGAUUACGUCAGCUAUCUCCACUGCUGAUCAUCACUUCUACCAAGGCUCAGAACUCCAUUUGUGGCACAGCCAACAGAAAUGGCAUCAAAUGCCAUAGAGGUUCAUCAUCACUGUUCUAGGAGAUGAGUGAAGUUGAGCCCUCAGUGAGAGAAUCACUCUGGCCUUAUAGCAUAAGUUUCAGCCCAAUUAAAGGAGGGAACUGCGGACCAAAGCUUGAUGUCUUGACCCGAAAAGGACUAUCUAAUGCCAUGUCAUUGGGCGAGCUUCAUCAAGGAGGGAAAGGAAGUACUGCAAACGAGGAGGAGGAAGAUGGUUAUGAACAAACUCUAGAGUUCCGCAGAGGAGGUGAUGGUCAGCCAAGGCGGUCCA